GUCUGCGACUCGCACUCCAUGAAGGAGGAAUCGUUAGUAAUCGCGGAUCAGCAGCCGCGGUGAAUACGUUACCGGGUCUUGUACACACCGCCCGUCACGCCAUGGAAGUCAGUAGUACCCGGAGCCAGUGGCCUAACCCCGACUUGUCGGGGAGGGAGCUGUCGAAGGUAAGACUGGUAACUGGGGCGAAGUCGUAACAAGGUAACC
rnacentral:rRNA from 1 species